rnacentral:rRNA from 1 species
AUUGAACGCUGGCGGCAGGCCUAACACAUGCAAGUCGAACGAGUGGCGGACGGGUGUAUCAUGUCUGGGACACUGCCUUAUGGAGGGGUAUCAAUACUAGACACGGUCGCUAAUCCCGCAUACCAUCAUAUGUGCCCAGAUGGGAUUAGCUAGGAGGUGGGGUAAAGGCUCACCUAGGCGACGCUCCCUCGCUGGUCUGAGCGGAUGACCAGCAACACGGGAACUGAGCAACGGGCCAGAGUCCUACGGGAGGCAGCAGGGGGGAAGAUUGCACAAGGGGCGCAAGCCUGAUGCAGCCAUGCCGCGGGUAUGAAGAAGGCCUUCGGGUUGUAAAGUACUUUCAGUGGGGAGGCGUGACCGUCAGAAGAAGCACCGGCUAACUCCGUGCCAGCCGCCGCGGUAAUUC